GACUUCGUGGUCUAGUGGUAAGGACACUUGCCUCUCAUUCGUGUCGGGUUCGAUUCCCGGUCGAGGAGCU